CCUACGGGUGGCAGCAGUGAGGAAUAUUGGUCAAUGGACGAGAGUCUGACCCCGCCAAGUAGCGUGAAGGAUGACUGCCCUAUGGGUUGUAAACUUCUUUUAUAAAGGAAUAAAACGAGGCACGUGUGCCUUUUUGCAUGUACUUUAUGAAUAAGGAUCGGCUAACUCCGUGCCAGCCGCCGCGGUAAUACGGAGGAUCCGAGCGUUAUCCGGAUUGAUUGGGUUUAAAGGGAGCGUAGAUGGGUUGUUAAGUCAGUUGUGAAAGUUUGCGGCUCAACCGUAAAAUUGCAAUUGAUACUGGCAGUCUUGAGUACAGUUGAGGUAAGCGGAAUUCGUGGUGUAGCGGUGAAAUGCUUAGAUAUCACGAAGAACCCCGAUUGCGAAGGCAGCUUACUAAACUGUGACUGACAUUGAUGCUCGAAAGUGUGGGUAUCAAACAGGAUUAGAUACCCCAGUAGUC
rnacentral:rRNA from 1 species